rnacentral:piRNA from 1 species
UCGGUCUGGAGGCGUAGUUUUGAAACUCA